rnacentral:rRNA from 1 species
UACGUAGGGGCCUAGCGUUGUCCGGAUUUAUUGGGCGUAAAGAGCUCGUAGGCGGCCCGGUAAGUCCGCUGCGAAAGUCCAGGGCUCAACCCUGGAAUGCCGGUGGAUACUGUCGGGCUCGAGUCCGGAAGAGGCGAGUGGAAUUCCUGGUGUAGCGGUGAAAUGCGCAGAUAUCAGGAGGAACACCGAUGGCGAAGGCAGCUCGCUGGGACGGUACUGACGCUGAGAAGCGAAAGCAUGGGGAGCGAACAGG